CCAGCUAAUCUUGUCCUAGUUCAAGACAGAUCACAUGAGUUAAACAUGCAGGGUUUAGUUUUCCAACUAGUCAUUAACAGGUUAAUUCUAACAGUACAACUGAAAACAUGCUCAGGGAUGAAGUUCAGAGCCCUCAACUGAAUUUGAGUUCCUUUUCUUGCAACAACUGACCCGCUCAAGCUUUGAUUCUGUUUUGAUUUGGUUGUACUAGAUAUGGGAAGAUGUGCAAUAAUCAGUCUCAUCACCUAUAGUUACCAUUAGUUAUUUGUUUAAAGAUACAGCGUGAAACAGGCCCUUCAAGCCACACCGCCCAGCAACACACUAAUUUAACCCUCACCUAAUCAUCGGACAAUUCACAAUGACCAAUUAAACAGUCCCCUCUCUCUUUCUCUCUCUCUCUCUUGAUACCUUUCAGUAAUUGGUGCUCCAGCUGUCAUUCACUGGAUUUAAGAAAGUGGAGUAGGAACAAACCUUGAGAUCCUUCAAGCCGGAUCUGCUACUCAUUUAGAAAUGUCUGAGAUUUUCACAAACUUUCAAGCAGCUUUGCAGCUCAUCAGCCAUUUCAAAUGGCUUUCCCGGCUGUUGGUGGGAUAUACACUCCGGAGAUCUUGUGUUAUCAUCUACAACCUCAUUCAUCAGGAUUGAUCUGAAGGUCUCUGUUCAAAUUAAGAAUGACUGCAGUAGGUCACCAAAAGCCAGUCAGAAAUUGGAAUGUGACUGAUGCACUGAGCUAUUUUAUCAUCAUCUCCUUAUAGAAUAGCCGACUGUUUUGACUAUUUAAAAUUCCCACUGGCUUCAAUGAUUGCAAUUGGCAGCAAGUCUAUCACUUUGUCUUUUCCAUCCACAUGUUUAAAAUCUUUUAAUGUCAUUUGCAGAGGUAAAUCCUGCUGGGAGGGAGAUAUACACCCAUCCCAAAGCAGUUUUCAUAGUAACAUUUGUUUUGUUUUUAUUUGUGGAUUAUCCCAUAUUCAACCAGAGUGGUUCAUAAUGUAACAUGCUCCACUUUGAAUCUUUGUUUUACUCACAGCUCAGCAGAAUUAUUUUCUAGACUGUUCAUUAUCUUCCACUUAAUCUAUCCUGAGUAUCUAUCCUGUGUAUCACACAUUCUGAGCAAUGCACUUCACCCAAUUAAUCUUAUUGCAGGUAUUCCUUCCCUUUUGUAUCCCUUCUACACAUUACACACUUGCAUUCUUCAGCCUGUAUAUUAUACAGUGUAUCACACACUUAAUUUCUUUAAAUUGAAAAUUAGGAAAGAUCUUGGAGAACUCUUAAAUUGAUCAUAAGCCUAUACAAGAAGUGGGAAGGUGACUUUACCCAGGGGCUAUUGGUGUAUGAAUAGGAGUCAAACAAAACUAUGA